rnacentral:tRNA from 1 species
CGGGAAGUAGCUCAGCUUGGUAGAGCACUUGGUUUGGGACCAAGGGGUCGCAGGUUUGAAUCCUGUCUUCCCGA